AAUGAGAGCCAAGAGAGCCACUGCUCAUCUGCUUCUUCUUCGAGACCGGCGAUCGUAGUAGGCCACUUCAAGCUCGCCGGAGAAAUCUCGUCGUCGACCCCCACCCGUCCUCUUCUUCUUCAGUAGCAACCAGCAUCCACCAGCUCCAGCUCCGUCGAAUACCAGACGCAUGACGCCACCAGUGACCCCUCAUCGGAAAAUGUCCAGCAACCCCAUCGCCGGAAACUUGCGUACACCACUUGCAUCCAUCUCCCUCGACGCACACAACCACACACACACACACACUCGACCCAAUCUCACUUCCCUUCGCCAUCAUCAAUAAACCAACCUUAACUCCACCUAAGGUCGACCAUCCACACCCUAGGAAACCAUUGAAGUCACUGAUGUUUCUUCACUCUUGAACGCCUGAAGCAACAGCCGAUCUCGUCUCUUCCAUCAGCCAAGAAACAACUCCAGAUUAGGAGCUACUAUCAUGGAGUUAGUUAGGUCUGUUUUCUGAUUUAGUCUGAGCUUUCCGGCGAGCAUCGAGGUCGUCGUUAGUCGUUGUUCAUCUCCGUUUCUGUCCGUGGUUGCCGGUCUGGGAUAUAUUUUGUUGAGGUCGGGAUCGAGGAUUUGUUUAUCUCUCAUCGUUGGAUCAACGCCAGCCUUUCUCUGUUGUUUCACAAUUCAUUCUGGAGGUUUUAUAUUAAAUCAAGUAUUGGAAAGGACUGCGGCUAAAGAUUCUCUUAAAGGUGUGGAUUAACUUACUGGAGUUUGGGCAUGACAGAUACCCCAGGAUCACUGCAUUCAGAAGUUGCUCGAGGAGUCAUUUUAUAUUUUUGAGUCAAUUGUUCAUGUUUUACUUUCUAGUCAUGUAUAGUAGUAUUCGGUCUUUUAGGUGAUGUUAGAGUUUGUAAUAGUCUAGUUAAGUUUGCCUAGUCUUUUGUUAUUGUAUUCCUUAUUUGGUAUUUGGAAAUGUGGUACAAGUCCAAAAAAAAAAAGAAAUUUUGCGUUUUUAUAUUUUCGUUAUAAGUUUUCUUUAGAAUACUAAUUCUAUAAAUGGAAAAAAUUUCCUUUGA